GACCUCUUUAAGUUAUUGCACUUGCGCAUUUUACAAAGAUUUUUAUGUCAUACAUAUAAAAUCAUUUUUUAAUUUACUAACUCAUCAACUAUAAUAAAGUUGGAUAUUAUGAACUUGAAGUUCUUUCCCCUUCCGAAAGAGAGCCUGUUAAGGCUUUGGAUACAGACCCAUUGACUGCAAAUCAGUUUAUUAUGAGUACUGUGUUUUUGGUAGCACAAAACCUGUGUGACAUCCCAGCAGGUUUUGGUCAGCAAGGAGAUUAUCCCAAGUAAACCUUAGAUGACUUGGCUAGGAACGGAUAUAGAAUCUCUUUUGCUCAUAUGUUCAUGUAGACAAAGUCACCUCUUCUUAAAAAGAAUCAAGAUGCUGCAUUUAUACAAAUUUGGUAACUGUUUCACAGUGUUUUGGGCAAGCAUAUAAUUUCAAAUGGACAGGGGCAUUGUAUAGAAACACCUUCUAUUUAUAAAUCUAUCAUACUUUCAACUUGCACACUAAAUGAACAUGUAGCAUAUACACCAUACAAUAGAUCAUACAGAAAAUAAUAGUCCCACGUGUCAUUUAUAUUGUCUAUACAAGAUAUAGCAUAAAUCCGGGGAUUUAGCUCAGUGGUUCCGCCUCACAAGUGCAAGGUACCGAGUUCGAUCUCUGGUACCAAAAAAAAAAGAUAUAGCAUAGGCCUAGGUUUUGGGGUAACUAAAGAAAAAACAAAGAUUGCAGUGCCUAUGAUGACAUUUUAGGUGGGCGAAAUCAUUAAAUAAUGUACUUUUAAAACAAUUUACAUUAGGAAUAAAACUUUCCAUAUAAAUGUUGGCAAAUACACAGUACCUCAAAAUUAUUAGCUGAGUAUUGAAAUGAUAAACGAUCUUCCCUAUGUGGGAAACUCUGGAGCCAGCUGCAAAUUUCCACUUUGGUCUUUAGGUGAUGUUAUUCUUUGCCCCAACACAGCCAAGCCCAGAUCUUGUGCUUUGGUUGUGGUUCUCAUUAUGGUUACAGCAAAGGGCAGGCAGACUAUACAACUUAUAAAACACUGCUUUUCACUGUGGGUUGAGAGGAGAAAAAUGAAGUGACUAUCACAGUGCUUCUUUGGAUUUUAAAUGUGCUUUUCUUGGGAAACACUGAUGUUUUUCUUUUUGCUUCAUCUUCUUAAUUUGGAACAAGAACACUGUUGAACAUUUUUCGUUUUUGGUAUUUUUAUCAUCCCUUAAAAUACACCUAAUGCUUUAGAUAACCAAAUUACACAGUUUUGUAAAGAAGACAGAAACAACAAAAAGGGUACAUACUGCACUGGGUGUCACUAAUUUAAACUUAGUAGAAGUGCUUUAAGAAGUCAGCAAAAUGUGUUAUCAGGAUACUUGCACACAGGUUAAACUAUAACAACCAUGCACUGGCAAGCAUGGGGACAGAGUAACUGAGAGCAUCCAUAGCAAACCGAAAUCUUACAGUGAUUUUUAAGCCAGACUAGUACUUGCAAUAGAAGGAAUCCACUAAAAUGACUAAAUGAAUAUAGUCUCUAUAGAGUUACGGCUAAAUCAAAUCAGCUAAGUUCAGAAAUCAAACACGUUUGAAAUAUAUAAAGAGAGAAGUGAUUUUCACAAUCUGAAUCAUGCUUAUGUACCUGACACCCAACAAAAUCACAUCAUAAUUAGUGUCACGGUUCUUGGGAGUCUUUAAAAAACAGAAUCUGAACAGCUCCUUUGUUAUAGUCACCAGAGUAUGUUUCAAUGAAGUCAAUGAAGUCAAAAUAAAGGAGAAGAAUCUAAUGAAGAGAGAAAGGUUCUAGUCAUUCAACUUGGUAAAGUUAACCAGGGAUGUGUCUCUUUAAAUGUUUUCCAUUAUGCUUAAGCAAGAAAAGCAAAAUAAUAAAUAUAUGAGUGAAGAAGUAAAAUUUCAGUAUUUAAAAUAAAGGCACAGGCCAAGGCAUGGUGGAUAAUUUAGUCCUAUUAAAGCUCAAACCUUAAUUUUGAGUUAAAAGACCAGAAAUAUAAUACCACAAAUAAAAGCUAUUUAGAAACCCAGAUAUCUACAGAUUUACACAUUUCCG
ensembl:lncRNA